AUUGAACGCUGGCGGCAUGCCUUACACAUGCAAGUCGAACGGUAACGGGCCUUCGGGUGCCGACGAGUGGCGGACGGGUGGGUAAUACAUCGGAACGUGCCCGAUCGUGGGGGAUAACGAGGCGAAAGCUUUGCUAAUACCGCAUACGAUCUACGGAUGAAAGCAGGGGACCGCAAGGCCUUGCGCGGACGGAGCGGCCGAGGGCAGAGUAGGUAGUGGGUGGGAUAAAAGCUUACCAAGCCGACGAUCUGUAGCUGGUCUGAGAGGAUGAUCAGCCACACUGGGACUGAGACACGGCCCAGACUCCUACGGGAGGCAGCAGUGGGGAAUUUUGGACAAUGGGCGCAAGCCUGAUCCAGCCAUGCCGCGUGCAGGAUGAAGGCCUUCGGGUUGUAAACUGCUUUUGUACGGAACGAAAAGCCUUCUUUUAAUACAGGAGGGUCAUGACGGUACCGGAAGAAUAAGCACCGGCUAACUACGUG
rnacentral:rRNA from 1 species